rnacentral:siRNA from 1 species
UGUGCUCAUCCACCGACUUCUC